CCGCGAGCUCGGUUUGCGAUGAGCACGUCGUCGGGAGCUUCAACGAUGGGGACACGGUCCGGGAGUUCGCCAAGAGGUGUGGGGUCCUAACAGUGGAGAUUGAGCAUGUUGAUGCCGCCACACUCGAGAAGCUAGAAAAAUAGGGCGUUGACUGUGAGCCUAAAGCCUCCACAAUCACGAUUAUUCAGGUAAGCUGAUCACUGCUACUUAUUCAUCUGAUUUUGUUACGCCAACUGUAACACUUUAACAAAUUGUCUCACUGAUAGUUUGUUGUGUAUCGGUAAUCAAUUGCAGGACAAGUACAGGCAGAAAAGGCAUUUCUCAAGAUGCGAGAUCCCAUUGCCUGACUCAUGGAAGUAAUGCCCAAACUUCUAACCUGUGGGCUAGUAUUGUAUCUUACGUGUUUCUACACAGUGUAAUAGUUCUGAUUUACAGGUAGAUACUUUACGCAGUAUAGAGGAGACUGGGGAAAAGUUUGGCUAUCCCCUAAUGGUCAAAAGCAAGAGAUUAGCAUAUGAUGGUCGAGGAAAUGUUGUAGCCAAGAAUAAAGAGGAGCUACCUUCUGUUGUUGCUUGUUAGUAGAUUGGAAAAUGAUUUAGAUUCUCUCUUUGAAUUCUUAAAAUCACAUGGUUUUUUAGCUGAUUGCUCAUUUUUCUCUGAAAAUUAGCUUGUAAGUAGAUAAAACUACUCGGAGGUCUAUAUUUUUGAAUCUAGUGUUUUCUCCAUUUUUUCGUGCAGCACUGGGUGGGUUUGAGCGUGGCUUGUAUGUUGAGAGAUGGACUCUUUUCGUAAAGGAGCUUUCUGUAAUUGUGGCAAGGAGCAGAGACAACUCUACUGUCUGCUAUCCUAUUGUGGAAACAGUUCACAAGGAAAAUAUAUGCCAUGUUGUUGAAGCUCCUGUUGAUGUAUCUAACAAAAUAAAGAAGUUAGCUACUAGCGUGGCUGAAAAAGCUAUCAAAUCAUUAGAAGAAGCUGGUGUCUUUGUUGUAGAGUUGUUUUUAACAGAAGAUGAUCAGAUUUUUUGGACCAUCUACAUAUUUUUUCAAAAUUUAUUCCUCUUGGAGUGGUGUUUACAUCAUUAUCCUUAUGUUGUUCUUUCACUAGAUUUUAUUGAAUGAGGUAGCCCCUAGGCCUC